AGAGGAAACAACACAUUUAAGGAAUCGUGCGAAGUCGCGCGACACCAAAACUCAUCGAUCGGUCGAAUGGCUGCAGAACAUGCCGUUACAGCAUGGGACCUUAUAUCAAACAAUCGUCACGCAACAAAUAGAGAGGGAUCACGCGUGUUCUAUUUAUGUAUAAAUGGAAUUGGAGGGGGAAGUGCUCUGAUCACCCAAGUCCUCAUAAUAUAGAGAAUUAACUUCAAAGGUCUCUUGUUGCAUGAUUUAGAUAUUGGGUGUCGUGUUUGUGCAGAGAUUAGGAAGAUCACUGUAGGACAAAUAAUGGGAUCAACCAAAUAUCACCAGAAGUCAUUUAGAACGAUGCAUUCUCAUGAAAAUCCUGAGAAUAGUACUAGAAUCAUAAACAAGCUGCAAGCAGAGAUGGCAGAGAUAAGCAAGCAACAUGAAGAGAUCAAACAAGGGCAGAAGGAAAUGAGAGAAAGGUUUGAAGAGAUGGAUUCAGAAUGUGAGCAACUCAAAAAAGAGACUGAAGAUAUAUCUCAUGCGAGCGACAACGUGCAACUUCGUCUCAAUAUCAUGCUUGAUAUCUUGAAGGCACGGCAAGAGGAUGGCUUUGCGAAAGUUUCCUAUCCGACUGGCUCUCUCCGCCGCACCUGUUAAAGGAAAACCAGCAAACGGAGGCUGCAUGCCCACCCGUGUCGACGGAAGAAGCGGUCUAAUUUUAUUCAAACGACUUGAUUUAAGAUUUUUAGGGAGUUUAUUCUCAACUUAUUUGUAGUUCUCCUUUGAUUAUCGACCUUGUAAUAAAGCAAUCGCUAUAAUUAUAUGUAUGCUAUGUUUGUGUAUUUACAAAUGGGGUUUUGCCUCUUAUUUUGUCAUUGUGCUUUUAAAUUCCUUAAUUAAAACCUUGUAUUUUUUUUCUUGUA